rnacentral:rRNA from 1 species
AUUGAACGCUGGCGGUAUGCUUAACACAUGCAAGUCGAACGGUAACAGGCAAAAGCUUGCUUUUGUGCUGACGAGUGGCGGACGGGUGAGUAACACGUAGGAAUCUGCCUAGUAGUGGGGGACAACCCGGGGAAACCCGGGCUAAUACCGCAUACGCCCUAAGGGGGAAAGCGGGGGAUCUUCGGACCUCGCGCUAUUAGAUGAGCCUGCGCCGGAUUAGCUUGUUGGUGGGGUAAAGGCCUACCAAGGCGACGAUCCGUAGCUGGUCUGAGAGGACGAUCAGCCACACUGGGACUGAGACACGGCCCAG